AUUGAACGCUGGCGGCAGGCCUAACACAUGCAAGUCGAACGAGUGGCGGACGGGUGAGUAAUUUCUGGGAAACUGCCUGAUGGACGCGGCUAACUACUGGAAGCGUUAGCUAAUCCCGCAUACCAUCGGAUGUGCCCAGAUGGGAUUAGCUAGUAGGUGGGGUAAAGGCUCACCUAGGCGACAAUCCCUAGCUGGUCUGAGAGGAUGACCAGCCACACGGGAACGGAGACACGGUCCAGACUCCUACGGGAGGCAGCAGUGGGGAAUAUUGCACAAUGGGCGAAAGCCUGAUGCAGCCAUGCCGCGUGUAUGAAGAAGGCCUUCGGGUUGUAAAGUACUUUCAGCGGGGAGGCGUUACCCGCAGAAGAAGCAACGGCUAACUCCGUGCCAGCAGCCGCGGUAAUUC
rnacentral:rRNA from 1 species